rnacentral:rRNA from 1 species
AUUGAACGCUGGCGGCAGGCCUAACACAUGCAAGUCGAGCGAGCGGCGGACGGGGGAGUAAUGUUUGGGGACUGCCCGAGAGAGGGGGAUAACUAUUGGAGACGGUAGCUAAGAUCGCACACUAUCGGAUAAGCCACAUGUGAUUAGCUAGUUGGUGAGGUAAUGGCUCACCAAGGCGACGAUCCCUAGCUGGGCUGAGAGGAUGAUCAGCCACACUGGGACGGAGACACGGCCCAGACUCCUACGGAGGCAGCAGUGGGGAAUAUUGCACAAUGGGCGCAAGGCUGAUGCAGCCAUGCCGCGUGUAUGAAGAAGGCCCUAGGGUUGUAAAGUACUUUCAGUCGGGAGGCGUUACCGGCAGAAGAAGCACCGGCUAACUCCGUGCCAGCAGCCGUGGUAAUAC